AGCACUUCUCAAAAGGGGCCAGCAGAUCCAAGGUGGGAAUUAAUGUCGGGUUUCCCAACGAGCCCACAAGUCCACGGCUCCAGCUCCAGCUCCAGCCUGAAUUUCACUCUCUGCCUCCACUGUCUGGGUUCAUGCUGAGUUUAGAGGGAGCACAGCUCAUCCCCGGGGGGGCUGACGUGCUGUCACUGGGUGCUGCACAUUCCACUGAUGCUGGACCCCUGUCACUCCUUAAAACAGCCUCUGCAGCAGGCUGAGAGGCAUCGAGUGUUAUGUCUGAGCUAAACACAGUGGAAGGAAAAGGAGGAGUCUUGCCAAUGUUUGUGUAGCCUUGGUGCCUGAUGUCCUGCAACUCUCGUACCGGGAUUUGCAUCGUGUGCCAGAACUUGAUGAGAAUGAUACUUCAACAUCAACUCAGUGCGUGGGUGGAUCCUGCUCCAAGACAUCAUUUUUUUUUUCUGACUUGAACUAGAAUUUACUUACUGGAGAGUCUAUUUACACUGCUGACCAGUGCUGUUUCCCUGAGUUGGAAAGUGACAUUUGAAAACUGCUGAUGGAGAUGAGAAAUCUUGGAAAGAGUUUGUCAUAGAUAUCACAUGGAAAUGGAGAGAAACUUCAGUAUAUUUAUGCUAAAGCAUUUGCAUGGGAGGAGGACACAAAAUGAAUGGAGUGAUAUUUUCAGUGAUUCCAGGCCUGAUAAAUAAGGAAAGCACAGGGAGCACA